AGCGAACGCUGGCGGCAGGCUUAACACAUGCAAGUCGAGCGGGCACUUCGGUGUCAGCGGCAGACGGGUGAGUAACACGUGGGAACGUGCCCUUCGGUUCGGAAUAACUCAGGGAAACUUGAGCUAAUACCGGAUACGCCCUUUUGGGGAAAGGUUUACUGCCGAAGGAUCGGCCCGCGUCUGAUUAGUUAGUUGGUGGGGUAAUGGCCUACCAACGGCGACGAUCAGUAGCUGGUCUGAGAGGAUGAUCAGCCACACUGGGACUGAGACACGGCCCAGACU
rnacentral:rRNA from 1 species